AGAAACCCGUGUAUCAGUUGUCUUGCGUUGUUGCAACCUCUCUGUUUUCUGGGAAGUUUAAAUGUGUCAGCAAGAUGUUGUUUCCGGCUGAGGACAUUUGGUUGUGCCCACUGAACUCUGGUGCACACUGGAUACUUGUGGUUGUCAAAAUCUCCUCACAAUCUGUACUGCUGUUAGACCCUCUUGGAAAUGAAGGUUGUUAUGAAAGGAAAGUUAUGCGUAACUGGAGGUAUUCAUCAUUCAUUAAUUAUCUGUUUUAGGUUGUUUGGU